rnacentral:rRNA from 1 species
AUGCGGGGACUCGCCGACGAGCUCGCCGCGGCUGGCAAGCCGUUGAAGGAUGAUGAGUUAAUCUCGUAUAUUCUCAACGCUCUUGACAUGGAGUACCAGCCCUUGGUGUCCGCCCUCGACGCCCGCACCACCCCGGUCACUCUCGACGAGCUGUUCGGGCAGAUGACCAACUUCGACCAGCGGGUGGCUCUGUUCCAGGGAGCAGGCGCGGCGGGCGGCUUCAAGUCGUCAGCGAACGCUGCCAUGCGCGGCCGGGGCGGAGGCUCCCGCUAUCGCCGCCCACCUCGGAGUGGCAAGGGCCGGGGCUCCGGCAACGGAAACAGCAGCGGCGCCAACAACACACGUGGCGGCCGGCCUUUCUCCUCCAACAAUCGAGGCCGGCGCGGCAACUCCUCCAACAACAGAUCACGCCCUGAUGCAAUCAGGUGCCAAAUCUGUGGCAAGCCGGGACACUCGGCAAAAGACUGUUGGUACCGUUUUGAAGAAGACGAAGAUGAUUCCUCACAAGAUGAGAAGGUGGCCGGAGCUGCUGAUGGCUCCUACGGCGUCGACACCAAUUGGUACGUCGACAGCGGUGCCACAAACCACAUCACCGGUGAGCUGGAGAAGGUGACCAUGCGCGACAAGUACCGUGGCAAAGAUCACAUCCACACAGCAAGUGGAGAAGGAUCAGGCAACGAAGAAGGUGCUAUAUCGAGGUAG